UCUGUUCUCUGGAAACAAGCCCAGGAGCAGACACAAGUCUGAGCUCUGAGCCCACAGUCCUGGUUUGUCCUUGAAGUAUGAGGCUGGUGAUUGGAGUAACUGUUUUUCUGACCUUGGGGUCUGUGAUUAAUGCUAAGACCACCCAACCCAGCUCCAUGGAUUGUGCUGAAGGAGAGGAUGUAAACCUGCCUUGUAACCACUCUACCAUCGGUGCAAAUGACUAUAUACAUUGGUAUCGGCAAAAUCCCAAUCAGAGUCCACAGUAUAUCAUUCAUGGCUUACGAGACACAGUGAACAGCAGCAUGGCCUCUCUGCACAUAGCUUCAGACAGAAAGUUUUGCACAUUGGUCCUGCCUCAGGUCACCCUGAGAGACGCCGCUGUGUACUACUGCGUCCUGAGAGAGGCACACUGGGACAGACGGGGCCGCACCUGUGCAGUAUCUCUGGUGGGAAGAUGGGGGAACGGAGUGGGGAGAGCAGUCACUAGAGCAAAUUUAGAGUCUUCUAGAAGGAGAAUCAGAGAACAGUAA